UUGAUUCUGGCUCAGAUUGAACGCUGGCGGGAUGCUUUACACAUGCAAGUCGAACGGCGCACGGACUUCGGUCUGGUGGCGAGUGGCUGGGUGAGCCGUAUAUCCAGACAGUGCUGUGGGGAUAGCUACGCGAAAGCAUCAGCUAAUACCGCAUACGCCCUUCAGAGGAGAAAGCAGGACCUUCGGGCCUCGCACUAUUAGAGCGGCGACCAUCGGAUUAGCUGGUUGAACGGGUAACGGCUCACCACCAAGGCGACGAUGCGUAAGCUGGUUUGAGAGGACGACCAGCCACACUGGGACUUCCACGGCCCAGACUCUGAGGAGGCAGCAGUGGGGAGCUGGACAAUGGGGGAAACCCUGAUCCAGCCAUCCCGCGUGUGCGAUGAAGGCACUGGUUAUGCAAAAAGCACUUUUUGGCAGGGGAAAAACGGCACGGGAUAAUACCCGUGCAACUGACGGUACCUGCGGAAUGGCACCAGCUAACUACGUUGCCAGCGAAAAGCCGCGGUAAUGUGGAUGCAAGCGUUAAUCGGAAUUACUGGGCGUAAAGCGUGCGCAGGCGGUUCCGGAAAGAAAGAUGAAAUCCAGGAACUUAACUUUGAACUGCAUUUUUAACUACCGAGCUAGAGUGUGUCAGAGGAGGUGGAAUUCCGUGUAACGGUGAAAUGCGUAGAUAUGCGGAGGAACACCGAUGGCGAAGCCAGCCUCCUGGGAUAACACUGACGCUCAUUGCUGGCAAAGCGCGUGGGGAGCAAACAGGAUGUGAUCUCACCCUGGUAGUCCACGCCCUAAACGAUGUCAACUGGCUGUUGGGGCCUUCCGGGCCUUGGUGGCCAUGCGCGUGAAGUUGACCGCCUGGGAAGUACGGUCGCAAGAUUAAGACUGAAGGAAUUGACGGGGGCCCGCACAAGCGGUGGAUGGAUUGGUGCGAUGCAGCACUUGAAAAACCUUUGUAUGUCGCAGAUCGAAGAGAUUUGGAGUGCUCGCAAAGGAACCGGAACACAGGAGUGCUGCAUGGCUGUCGUGGCUCAUUGUCGUGAGAUGUUGGGUUAAGAAUCCCUGUGAAGCGCAACUGUGUUGGUUGCUACGAAAAGGGCACUCUAAUGAGACUGCCGGUGACAAACCGGAGGAAGGGAUGGGGAUGACGUCAAGUCCUCAUGGCCCUUAUGGUGGGGCUUCACACGUCUUCAAUGGUCGGGACAGAGGGUCGCCAACCCGAGGGGAAUAAUCCGAAACCGAUCGUAGUCCGGAUCGCAGUCUGCAACUCGACUGCAUUAAGUCGGAGUCGUGGCGUCGCGGAUCAGCAUGUCGCGGUGAAUGAAUACGUUCCCAGGUCUUGUACACACCGCCCGUCACAUACCAUGGAGUGGGUUUUACCAGAAGUAGUUAGCCUAACCGUAAAGGAGGGCGAUUACCACGGUAGGAUUCAUGACUGGGGGUGAAGUCGUAACAAAAUUAACUCUGUUUUUGGUGUC
rnacentral:rRNA from 1 species